ensembl:snRNA U6 U6 spliceosomal RNA
GUGCUCGCUUUGGUAGCACAUAUACUAAAACUAGAACGAUAAAGAGAAGAUUAGCAUGGUCCCUGCUCAAGAAUGACAUGCAAAGUCAAGUUUUUAUUUAUCUCUUA